rnacentral:lncRNA from 1 species
GCUGAUACAGUCUGCUCAGGUACAGGACUCCCUCUCAGUCGACUGAUCCCCAUGAUGAGUGGGACAAGCUCUGCAUCACUUCACUUACACUAUUUCACUCAAACUAGUAUGUUUUCAAAGCAACAUAAGGAAGCCCCAGCUCUGCCACCUUGGGAUGUGUAGCACUCUGGAGGCAGCUGGGAAGGCCUGCAGUGAGCUGCGCCACAUUAUCACAUUUGACCUACUCGGGGAAUAUGGAAAUAGACACAUCCUUUGUUCACCACUUAGGAGAUGCUGAGUCACUACCAAAGGUACUUGCUCUUAAGCAUUUCUCAGGCUGCCUCUAUAUAGAAUAACUGGAAGUGUUAAUUAGGUUUAAUCCAACAUAGCUACAUUUGUACAAAGCAUUGUGUGAGAGAGGCUCUGUCUGUCUGUCAGUAGUUUACUGUGGUUCUACUUCAGUGGAGACACACUUCUGCCGUUUUCAAGUCUUAAUCCUUGUCAUCUUUGUCAUCCAUAAGGCGUCUACUAGGCAAAGAAUGGGAAGCAAGACCAGAAUUUCUAAUGUUAAGUUUUCCCCUGAAACAUGAAAGCUUAGAAACAACAAAAUACCUUUCAGGUGUUCUUUGUGCAUCUUGAUAAAGAAAACACCACGAGCUGAAACAUCUUCCUUGCUAGUUGUAAGAGCUGUGGCUUCCCAUCCAAAGAGAACCACCUGCACUAGUUCUCAGACCUUACAGUGAACAAUUCAGUUAAGCUCAUCCACUCCAACGUACAGAAAGAGACCAAUGGCAUCAAAUCCUUAAACAUUCAAGCUAUAUAAAAUGACAGUGACGUUUCUGGCACCAGGCAUUCCUGUCAACAUAAGUUACGGCUUUCAGUAAAAGCUGUAUUUCACUUCCUGUGAGAUUACUAAUUUCAAAUCUACAUGGUAAGUUUAGAAAGGUGAAAGACUUUUUUGUUUUUACUUUUGGUUUUCAUUUUCUCUGCAAAACGCUCUGAAACAAUACAAUGAAAGUGACUUCUAGACCACUAGUGGCCUCAAAAAACAGUGAUCAUUAAAAAAUGUAUUUUGUUCAAGAAAUUUUAAAACGGAAACCCACUAUGCAGGAACACUGUAAAAAAAGUU